CUAUUUGUUACGUCAUUUUACUUACUCCGUAAAGAAGUGAUCGGUUUACCGAUUCUAGACUAAGGGUAGUUUACUGCCUGAGCUUUGCGGAAGACACGGUCAGUGGGGAGUUUGGCUGGGGCGGCACAUCUGUUAAACAAUAACGCAGGUGUCCUAAGGUGAGCUCAAAGAGAACAGAAAUCUCUUGUAGACCAAAGGGGAAAAGCUCACUUGAUUUUGAUAUCCAGUACAUAUACAAACCGUGAAAGCGUGGCCUAUCGAUCCUUUAACUUUACAAGUAUUAAGCUAGAGGUGUCAGAAAAGUUACCACAGGGAUAACUGGCUUGUGGCUGCCAAGCGCUCAUAGCGACGUAGCUUUUUGAUCCUUCGAUGUCGGCUCUUCCUAUCAUUGUGAAGCAGAAUUCACAACGUGUCGGA
rnacentral:rRNA from 1 species